rnacentral:lncRNA from 1 species
AAAAUAAAUGCCUGUCAAACACCAACAAAACUGGAAUUGGCAGUAAAUCAAAACAUACCUAAUAUAUGGAUAAACUUCUGUAUACUGGUUGGACAAUUUUGAAAACCGCUAUUAAAAUCAUUGAAAAUGGAUCCGCUACGCUCAAAAUUGAUACUUUGAAAGACAACUCGUUAGAUGCUCCAAAAGUCCCAAGCAGAUUAAAAUCAGGAAGAUUUUUCUUUACUUUUGAAAAAUGAAUUCAGUACAAACGGAAAUUUCGGGGCGAAAAGAUUACUGUGAAUUGGAUACAGACUCAUACGAUGAUUCGCAAGCUGCCCCAAAUUUCGAUGUAGUUGAGGAGACUUGAUCGAGUUCUCAAACCUAAGAAUCAAGAAAAAAUCCAAAUGCAGGUAUCAUACGACGAUGCCAAUUUUGGUUUUACUUAGUGCGGUGAUUGUUUAUAGAUGCUAAAUUUUGUGGGUGGGCUUGUCUUUUCUUGUAACUGAUAGUUCCGCAAAGGAAUUGAACGAGAAUACUGAGGAAGACCCUGAUGUUAUCGAGAUGAUUCUGCCAUGGUUCGAUGAGAAAGUAUCAGAAAAGUUAUGAAACUGUUCAAAAAUGCAUUUUCUGUUUUAUUUAUUCUUUAUAAGACUUGAACUUUAUUUCAUGCGCACGCAUAAUUAUAGAAUAACGCAGUAAAGUUGUCAUUGUGUGUGUGUGAAAUGAGUUGUCUAAACUGGGUGUGUGUUUUGCUAUGGGACGAGGUGGUAUAAUUGAGAAACUAAAAGUGGAUCAAUGCAAAGUUUAUUUGAGGAAGCACAGCAGGCAAUAGAAAUACCCUUAUACAGCGGAUUAAGAAACAUCUCGAGUAAUUUUCUUCCUCUCUUAUAUUUGAACCUCGAAUUUAUUGGUUUGGUAUUUAUUUAUCUCCUUAUAAUAAUUAAUGCUUGUGUUAUUUUCAGUGUUGUUGAUGAUGGUGUGGAGAAAAAGUAAUCGGCCUCUCUUUUUGUUUUAAUUGCAGAGGUAGAACAUUUUAGCAUUUGUGCUUGGUGAUAUCCUUUCUUAUUUCAUUCCUUUGACUUCCAUAUUUGAAGUUUCAAUCAAUGUUCUAAUACUCAAUAUCCAUAUCCGGGUAGCAAGAAUCGAAAACCAGAACAAACGCAAGAAGUCAUCAGAUUCUAUACCAAUGAACCCAGAGAAACAAGAAAACCAACCUCAGAAGCAGCAGCAGGAGAGAGAAUGCUGCCCAUGAAGAGCAGUAGCAUUCCGCAGCAGCUAGAAAGUAUGCUUGGAAAACCGAAUAAUCUUUGGUGUUGGUCAUUUUAGAGAUAUAGAACAGUGAAUGCAGUGAUGAGACAACAAUGGAUGUGUUGAUCCUUCACGAUUUUUGUAGUGAGUUUCUUUGUUUUAUAGAAAUAAAGUUUCUUUACUGUUUUUAAUUACUUCGAUUUUCAGCCUUUUUACUUAGUCAAGUUCGUGUGUUUCAUCACUUGUGUAAGUGUAAAAUUCAUGUGUUGACUUGUUGGGGACGGGAAAAUUUGAUGCCAUCACAGCUCGUUGGAAAAACCCCUAAUGGCACUGAAGAGACAUGCACGACAGAAGGUAUUAGCCCCAGCCAAAAGGUAAGUUAGAAAGUGAGCACUGCAGCCAAGAGAGAAGAGAGAAAAGAAAGCACGCGUUCUUUACUAGCAUUGUGUAAAGAGGAAUAGCAGCAUCAAUACAAGUGCAGGAAGAUUACAGAAUGCAGAAAGUGCGUAUUCUUCUUCCAAGUUAGGCUGCAAUAACCCUUUUUUGUUUAUAGGUUGCAGGGAUUACCGUUUUGUUUUAUUGUCAGGUGUUUUGGCUUUUGUUAAUG